rnacentral:rRNA from 1 species
UGGGGAAUAUUGGACAAUGGGCGCAAGCCUGAUCCAGCCAUACCGCGUGGGUGAAGAAGGCCUCGGGUUGUAAAGCCCUUUUGUUGGGAAAGAAAGCUUCGGUUAAUACCCGAUUGCUUCUGACGGUACCCAAAGAAUAAGCACCGGCUAACUUCGUGCCAGCAGCCGCGGUAAUACGAAGGGUGCAAGCGUUACUCGGAAUUACUGGGCGUAAAGCGUGCGUAGGUGGUUGUUUAAGUCUGUCGUGAAAGCCCCUGGGCUCAACCUGGGAAUUGCGAUGGAAACUGGGCGACUAGAGUGUGGCAGAGGGUAGUGGAAUUCCUGGUGUAGCAGUGAAAUGCGUAGAGAUCAGGAGGAACAUCCGUGGCGAAGGCGACUGCCUGGGCCAACACUGACACUGAGGCACGAAAGCGUGGGGAGCAAACAGGAUUAGAUACCCUGGUAGUCCACGCCCUAAACGAUGCGAACUGGAUGUUGGGUGCAAUUUUGGCACGCAGUAUCGAAGCUAACGCGUUAAGUUCGCCGCCUGGGGAGUACGGUCGCAAGACUG